rnacentral:rRNA from 1 species
AUGCAGAUAAAAGAACUUCAGAAAGCAACAAGAAUAAUCCAAACUAUAUGUGCAGAGGCAAAGGGUUACAAGCGAACAAUGAUCACGAGCAAGAUACCUGCCACAAAGAGAUCCAUGGAGCGGUUUCUCUUCCAAGUGAAGGCCCUCCUGGAACACUGCUCUAAUGUGGAGCGUUGCUGGAUUGGUAAUCUGAAGCACAAGGAUUUGCAUGGGCAUGUGGUAAGCUCUCAGGUGUACGGUGACGUGGAUGACGACCCAAAUGAUGCAGAACAAGAACAGAUGGAGACUGAUCCUGAAACUCCAGCCGACGAAAAUGACAACAUCGUGGAUGAUGAUGAGACAGAAAACGAGGCAACACCAUUGGAGGAUUGA